AAAAUCGAAAAUAUUGAUUAAGUUUUCCAACAAUAAUAAAUAAAAAUCAAAUUAAAUUUAACCAAAAAAAAAAUUCAAUUAAAACAUUUCAUGUUUGGACUGAUGAUAAUAGAUAUAUAUGGCGGUAUGGUGUUUUGAAUAAAUAGUGAUUUUUGUUUCUGAUUUUAUAAUUUAUUACACUUUCGAUUCCAUUUAUCAUCAUAAAUUACUAUCCCUCAAGACUUCCCACAUAACCAAUCCUCCACGAUUUUUUUAUUUUUAUUUUUUUUAUAUUAUACAUACACUUCUGGUAUAUGAAUAUUAUACUGUGUGCAUCCCUAACUACGGUGAUGAUGAGUUUGAUGUUUAAAUAUUAAAAAAAAAGAAGUAAACUCUGGUGCGAGUGUUUGUGAGUCAAAUAUUAUACAUAUAUAUGGUACAUAUAUACAUGAUAAUAUAUCUGUUAUAAGUAUAUAUCGUUUUAUGUAAAAAAAGGAAAAAUAGAAAAUAUAUUAAACCGAAAAACCGACAAGUAAACAGUCGGAAAUAUAUACCUCUAUUAAUGCUAUGUAUAAAAAAUGUGUGUUCAGAAGGAAUAAGAAUUUAUUGCUGUUAAGCUGCCAAUGAGGAAUUUCUGUGUGUGUACAAAUCAAGGAUAAUAAAGAUCGUAAGCGCUGCUUUCAUAGCUUUUUGGUGUAAGCCAAAAUGACAAUUAGCACGAACAGCAAAGUAACAGAUUGGCAACAAUUUCACAAAGACAAAUGAAAUCAACGAUUCAGUGAUACAGAGUGUGAAUAACCGCAGAAAAGAUAGAAAGAAAAAACAUGUUUAAUGUCGCUAACCAUUAAAGCAUCGGUGUUAUAGCCACGUGACAAACUGAAACAGGAGUUGGGUACGAAUGGCCACCAGCUGGUGGCAUAAAUGCCCAUAUCGUCGUCGCAAACGAGAUCUCUAGCCGGCGACAUGAAAUUCGCGGCCCCGAUUCGGGCUUUUGUUUUAGCCCACCUGAUAUCCCUAGUCACACCAACCGGAGAAGCAGACUACACUCUUGAUGAUUCUUUCUGGAAUGAUGAGAGUCCAGUCGGUAAGUACAAUAAAAUGUAACCUAAGAAAAUUCAUUUUAAUUUAGCUCCGGCUCGUUAGUCUGUACACACUUUCAAGUGGAAUGAAGUUUCCAAUUUCACGAAAUGUCUAGGCCAACAGGAACUGUUUGCCAUAAAGAGCUAUUAAA